rnacentral:lncRNA from 1 species
ACACGCUGCUCCCGCAGCGCCCGCUCCAGCUCUUCGUAGCUCGUUCAUGUUCCUGGCGCUUUUCCCCAGAAAGCCAGGCACGCUCUGAGCAUUGGGCCCCCAGGCUCAGAUGUGGCCCUGAAUGAGGAGCUCUGUUUUGGAAGAAUGCGCUUUCAUCGGUAUUGCUGCCUGGAGUUUCGAGAAUUCGUUUCAUGGAAUCAACAAGACUUUCUUACACACACAGCGUGACCAUAAGUGGAGAGAGAAAUGUGCCAGAGUAAAGACAGCCAUACAUACUUGACACUUCUCCCAUUAAAAAGUGGAGUCUAUUUCCUUCCACUUGAAUCUGCACUGACCUGAGACUGCUUGGACCCAUAGGAAAUGGCAGAUAUGACAUAUGGCCAGUCCCAGGCUUUGCCUUGGAGAGACCUAGAAACUUCUACCAUAGUCUCUUGAAGCUUCGAGGUGGCAGGAAAUAAAUCCAACCAGCUACCUGGCCGGAGAAAUCAGCAGGAAAGGCCCCAAGAAUAUGUGAAGAAGGAGAUGGGCCUGGUAGAGCCCAGGCUUCCAACCAACUGACAAGACUCCAGGCAUGGUAAUAAAACCAUCUCGAUACUUCUAGCAGCAGCAGCAGCAGCAACCAACAGAACAUCACUAAGUGACCCCAGUUGUGCCAUCUGCCCCAGUUCCUGCUGCACAAAACCAUGAUAUAAAGAAGUGGGUUAUUUUACAUCAGUAAGUAUUGGGUUAGUUUUAUACUCAGUAAUAAAUCAAGGGAGCAUUUUACAACAGUUUCCCAGAAGAUGGGCACAAUAGUGGCCCCACAGGGUGGGGUGAGAAGAGUUGCUGAAGCCUUAGCAUGAGACUCUCCCAGAAAUCCCUUUUUUUUGAUUUUCAGAAAGCCCUGAUGCUACAGUAAUAAUAGCUAAUAUUUCUUAAUUGCUAUAAAUAUGGCCUUAUUUCCUGCCACUUUGGGACAUGCAUUAUACUCACUAGUAACUGAUGCUUAUGCCCCUGGCUGCUGGGAAUAAAUAUUCUUAUAGCCGCUAUAAAUCUUGCUGAUCAUUCAAGAUUCCUCUUGGGUACUGGCAACUUCAGGAACUUUCAUGUUGACCUAAGAGUCUCUCUACUUUUCAUAACUCUAUCUUAGCCAAGUUGUAUUUUGUUGAAAUUAUCUCUGUUAUCUCCACAAGUUUCUAUUUUCCACUGGUAAGAUGGUUGAAGAUACAGAUUGCAUCUUCCUCAUGGUUGCAUGUAUGUACAAUUUUAACAGAAUCUGCACAUUGUAAAUGACCAACCUAGCAUUUGCAUAUUGUAUUACAGUUUAUAAAGGGUUUUCAUGAUUAUCCCUCUUGAACAGUUGAAUUGAGGCUCAGGGAGGAAAACGACUUUCUUAAAAUCCCUGGGUCACAGGGGCUCCUCACUCAGAGGCUUGCUAAUUUUCUCCCCCACAUACUGAGGAUAUGGAGAACUUCUUAGUGGGAGGGAGAGAGCUGAAGCCCUAUCCUCCCCAUGGAUACAUAUCCUUUGUUUUCAGUGUCUGGGAAAUGCCCCAGGAUUCCCUGCUGCGUUACCCUGGGAGACUAUUGCUCAAUCCCAGCAGCUGCUCUGGAGGAAGGAAAAAGCAGACAUUCUGAAUGUAUCAUACAUACAAUGCAAUAUUGAAUUGGAGGUUGCUAAUGAGCGAGAACUCUUUUAUUGUGUAGUCUACUUCCAGUGAGGUCUAGCUCUUAAUUUUCAGUGGGCGUAGCAGGAAGUACUAGUGUAAAAAAUAAAACAUAUAUAUUACUAAUACUGUUGCUAUAUAAAACAAUAUU